rnacentral:rRNA from 1 species
GACGAACGCUGGCGGCGUGCUUAACACAUGCAAGUCGAACGGAAAGGCCCUGCUUUUGUGGGGUGCUCGAGUGGCGAACGGGUGAGUAACACGUGAGUAACCUGCCCUUGACUUUGGGAUAACUUCAGGAAACUGGGGCUAAUACCGGAUAGGAGCUCCUGCUUCAUGGUGGGGGUUGGAAAGUUUCGGCGGUUGGGGAUGGACUCGCGGCUUAUCAGCUUGUUGGUGGGGUAGUGGCUUACCAAGGCUUUGACGGGUAGCCGGGCUGAGAGGGUGACCGGCCACAUUGGGACUGAGAUACGGCCCAGACUAGUACGGGAGGCAGCAGUGGGGAAUAGUGCACAAUGGGCGGAAGCCUGAUGCAGCAACGCAGCGUGCGGGAUGACGGCCUUCGGGUUGUAAACCGCUGUCGCCUGUGACGAAGCGUGAGUGACGGUAAUGGGUAAAGAAGCACCGGCUAACUACGUG